GAGAAUCCAGGAACUAGAAGCUACUUUGUACAAUGCUCUGCAGCAAGAAACUGUUAUCAAGUUUGGUGAAUUAUUAAGUGAAAAACAGCAAGAGGAGCUGAGGACGGCAGUAGAAAAGUUACGGCGGCAAAUGCUGAGGAAGAGCAGAGAGUAUGACUGUCAGAUUCUUCAGGAAAGAAUGGAGCUUUUACAGCAAGCCCAUCAGAGAAUCCGUGACUUAGAAGAUAAAACAGACAUCCAGAAAAGACAAAUAAAGGACUUAGAAGAAAAGUUUCUGUUUCUAUUCUUGUUCUUCUCUCUUGCCUUUAUUCUAUGGCCUUGAUGUCAAGGUGCCUCUUAAAGAGUUACCGAAAACAUGGAUAAGAGUCCAGAAAGGCAAAUGCUUCUAAACCUUCAAAGAUGGCAAAAUUGUUUACAGCAGUGAGAGGGAGAUCAAAAGCUAAGAACUACCCUGUAGCCAGGACUACAGCUGUGUAUUUUAAAGCCAUUAUUCAAGGUUUCUUACUUGACAGUUCCUACACAACCCUGUUGAAAAUCUACAAUAUAUGCUGCAUUUAAUGAAACAUGUAUAUGUCAAAUCAGAAGAGAAGAACUAUAAACAUAUAUUGUGUAAAGAAAAAGUUCAGCAUUGGAACUAGUUUCAGCAGAUCAAGCAAAGAUGUGUCUUGGGCAUGGAACCAAAGUUACAAUGAAACAUUCAACCCCUGCUGUGCAGGGGGGUCAUUUUAAUGUAACACCACACCCCAUGGAAACACUAGUCCUGAUAAUAAACAUCAUUUUAAAAGAUCAGAACAAAAAAAAAAGAAAAAAAAAAAAAAAAAAAAAAAAAAAAAAAAAAACAAGGGUGGGUGGGGAGUGAAGCACGAGGAAUACCUAUGAAGAGCUAUUUACAAUAAAAUGUUUCAUUUGAAAAGUCUGGUUUCUUACUACAGGGAUUUGCUUUUCUGUCUUUAUGAUUGUUUUAAACUCAGGAACAGAGACAUCCGCAUCGUGAAUGGGAAGAAAAACACCCUAUCUUUUGUUUUUCUGCAAAAGGUGGAGCUCGUGGAAUUCAUUCCACAGACAACAGAUGAGAAGUGGAUCACAGUGACCGUAACAAAACUGGUAACAAAGUCAAAGGACCUGGGCGAAUGCAACAUGCGAAAUAAAAGCAGAUUGGAUGCUUCCCUGUCCUACUCUCACAUCUGCAUCCCUCCAUCAACAAUGACUGAGCUCAUUCAUAUUGAAAAUUAAGAAGAUAAUACUGUAAAUCACAUGCUCCCUGACUUAGUUCUGUUUAGAACGCUAACGUCUAUGGGGAACAUGGGCCAGAGAUCAUCUAUGAAUCUUUCAUUUCCAAAAUACUGGUUUUCAAAUGGCUGCUUAAAAUUGCCUACAAAUGAAUAUGCUAUAUGAUUUGGGCAAAAACAAAAUAGAGUCAAUGAAUAAAUUUCUACCAACAGUCGGAUUUGCCACAGAGAUGUGAAUAUUAAACUAAACUAUUAUUUUUUAAAGAAUCCUUACAUGCCUAGAGCAUUCUGACCUCUUCUUGUUUAGAGUGAUAACAUUUUUUCCCAGACAGCUGACAGCAACAAGAUAGCUCUACUUUUUUAUAUAGAAAUAACAUUAUGUUACUGACAAGGUCAUUUUCUAACAGAGACAAUUAGAAGACUGAUACUUUUCCUAAGUUGUAUGUUACUGAGUCUUGGAUUUCUCUCUGAGAGCAAAUAUAUGUUCCUGAAAAGCUAAUUUUACACCUCAUUUACUGUAGAUAACAGAACAACCUCAAUUUUUCAAAUUUUUGAAGUUUUAUUUGUGGGACUAGAAUUCCCAUGCAUAGAGAAUAUGUGUAGGGAGCCAGAAACUCUUUCUAUGAAAUCUUUCCAUAUGUGGGUUCAGUGUCAUCCUUCAGUUUUAGCACUGGCAUUUGCAAAGCCAGAAUAAUAAGUGAAGAAUGUACAAGAAAAACUAGAAUGCUGGGGUCCUACUUUUUGUUCUGAUAUGUACUGCUGACCCAGGUAUCUUUGGCCCAGUCACUUAACCUCUGUGCCUCAGUCUCCUCAUCUGCAAAAUGGGGUUAAAAUGCUUUUUCAUAAAGUUUUAUUUGCAAUUUUAGAAUAAGAGGUGCUUAAAGUAGCACAAUGUGCUUUGUAAUUAUUAUAAGUGCUGUAUUAUUUGACUUUCUUGUGUUAUU